UAUAAAGUGACGCACGUAACGCGCGCUUCCUUUCAGCCAGCGGAAGCUCGUGAGGAGGUGAAAUGGACCCUAAAGUGCUCAAAUUUUCCUCUGGUCUGGAUUCAGCUCCUAACCAUGACCCAUGUGGGUGACCUGCUGCUUCUGUGCCAUGGGGGAGGACCUCUGUGCUGACGUUGAGUGACGGAUGAAGUGAAUCAUCCUGCCUGCUGGGGGCGCUGC
rnacentral:lncRNA from 1 species